UUUGGUAGAAGCUCCUUUGUUUUACGCUCUGUUUCCAGUCGAUCAGUUAACACCCACAGCAGGCAUGGAAACCUCCACAAACAGCAACAACAACAACAAUAUCACAAAGGCUAUGUAAUCCUAAAUGUCACCACCAGUAUCUUUUUCAGAUGUUUGCUCCCACACUAUUUUUGGUCCUCGCCUCCAUUGUUGUCUGGGUGAAUCACGGUCACGGAGACACCAGACAGUCAAACAUCUGUUAUCGCCACAUCCACGCUAUCAAGUAAAAUGCUUUUCAGCCGAGUCAUAACAAAAGCCACCUAUCUAUGCAGACGCACAGUAAACAUAUCAUUCAGGUUCUCUGCUCGUAAAUGAGCCUCCAACGGGUGUGACGUAACAGGAAAUGGACCCUGCCGCGCCCACCGUGACAGCCAAUCAUGAGCGCUGGCAAAGGAGCAGAAAAAAACUCUGCUGAAUAAAGACUGUUGACUCACAAAGUGAAAAUUAGUGUCUUUACCAAAGUAUAAGUUAGGGGCGAUCAGAAAGUGACCUCAGACUGAUCUCAAUAAUAAAAAAUAUGACACUUCUGACUGAACUUUGCACCAAAUUUGAGGAUGAUUCAAUCUAACUAAUUUUAACUUUAACUUUAACAGGAAUGUGAAAAAUUAUUGAGAAAAUAAUGAGGGUCAACUUUCUUGGGCUUAUUUCUGAACUUCCCUUUUUUAUCUACAGUCUUGGAGAAAGUGUUAGUUAUUCAGCUGUUUACAUUCGUAGUUAUACAUUACAUAUUUAAGUUUGGUUUCUGGUUUUCAAUCACAUCACGGCACUGAAACUUCACUUUUAAGAGCUUUUAAUGAUUUGCAUUCAACUGUUGAUUCUUGAGCCUCUUUUUUUCCGUUUAACAGCUGCUUUCGACACUGCUGAUCACAUAAUCCUCUUACUCGGUUCAAGAGUUGUUUUGGGAUUAAAGGCGCAGCAUUCAGUUUGUCCUGGUCUUACCUGACAGAUAGAACUUUCUCAGUCCAUCUGGAAGAUAUGACCUCUCUGAGACGGCCUCUUUCACAUGCGGUGUUCCUCAAGGGUCUACUCUGGGCCCACUUCUAUUUUCUCUGUAUUUCCACCUCGGGGUCGAUACAAUGUCUUAUUUCACUUCUUUGCUGAUGAUGUAGAAACAUAUUUUUACUUUAUAGCGGAAAAAAGAAGAUAAGAAAGACAAGAUUUGAGGUGAAGCCUGAAUUUUCUCUUUCUUUAAUGAGAAUUAUACUGCGUUCCAGUUGUACUCCGAAGUCAGAAUUUCCAAGCUCCGAGUCGGAAAUUCAUCUGGAACGCCCCCCUGAGGUUGGAUUUCUGACUCGGAAAGUCGGACGAGCCUCACCAGCCCCGACUUGGUGACAACGUCAUAAUCCAAGAUGGCAGCCCAGUGCAAGAGUAACAGUUUUAGCUUUUGUAAUGUUUUAUUUAUUAGCACUUCUGUUUUGUUUUUGUGCGGUCGUUACUGAAGUUGGUAUAAUUAGAGAAGCAAGCGGUCGGCAACAUUCAUCUCUCGACGGGGUGUAUAACUCGGUGUUGCGGUGUGUUUGACCCCAACUUAAUUUUACACUGGAAUAUCCCUUUAAAUGCCCUUGUAGCCGGACACACUCCUGUUUGAGUAUAGAACAGAGUAUUCCUUGUGUUCUACCUCCUACUCUGCAGUUGCUGGAUUGUAAUGGAUGCUAUUGUUGGCCUCUUGUUAUCUUGGCCUCGCCUGCUGCUGACGAAUGCCUUUCAUAAGCUUUUAUGACAUACUUAUGUGUUGAAAAAAACUCCAGGGUGAACGUCUUGUACCUUUUGUUGGGAUUUCAACAGCAUCUGGCCGCUCCAGCUCCCAAACUGUUUCUCAGAGCAGGUUGAUGAUUUGGUUCGAAGCAGCUGUCUGCAGCUGCAUCCAUCCCCAACAACCUUCUGCUUUCCCCACAACACAGCGCGUCUGUUUCGUCAGUUUUUUAGGGCGUCUCGCCUGGUUGGGAUCCUGUCAAUAGCAGGCAGUCCUCCAGGUGACACCUCCUCCACCCCCAUUUCCUCCGCUCCAUGCUGCUUUCAUCUCUGCGUCUCGGAUGCCUUGAAGACGUGACUUGGCUCAUUCGCGAAAAAUUCCUCGCUUUUGCUGUUUUCAAAACCGUGCAUUGUGUUUUACUACAGGUGCUUAAAGAUUUUUCUCCUCUCUUGUCAUGGCUCUCCAGUUUUGUUUUUUUUCUCACUCCCUCUCUGUCUCGCCACCAAAGAGCCCCGUCCUUAUCCAAUAAAAUGUCACCACACAAGAUGAACAGGAGACAGAGGCUCAGGGUGUAUCACACUUCCUAUCAGGCACUCUGUUAGGAACAGGCGGACAAAAAACUAUUCACCAAAACAGCCAUGUUGUGCUCAGUGUCACGCUCCGUCUGCUCCCAUCAGUUGGUCCCACUCUUAAGAAACCCAGUAAACAUGACAUUUUCAAGGAGGUGUAGCUUAGGCCAAACGGUUUGUUGACUGCAGUUCGGUUUUUAGGGUUUAAUUCUUUAAGAGACAGUGAUCCACGCCGUUUCAAACAUCCGGAUAAUAAUACACUUUUGAAGAAAUGGUUUCUCCACUUUAUUAAAGCCCCGUCUUAUUCUACUAUUCUCUCUUUGUAUGUUUAUCUCUACCCGUUUUCAGUGUUGAACCUUUCUUGCAGCAUUUGUUUGAGCGUUACGUUUGGAUUCUGACCACAGUUGGGUAACAUUACUUGCAGAAGUAACUCAUCACAUUAUAAGAUUCACUUGCUUGUGUGAAUUGCAAACAGUAGUGCUGAUACGUGGCCAAAAACUCAAGCCCA